GUUUACUUUGAAAANAUUAGAGUGUUCAAAGCAGGCGCGCUCGCCUGAAUAAUGGUGCAUGGAAUAAUGGAAUAGGACCUCGGUNCUAGUUUGUUGGUUUUCGGAACUCGAGGUAAUGAUUAANAGGGACGGACGGGGGCAUUCGUAUUACGGCGUUAGAGGUGAAAUUCUUGGAUCGCCGUAAGACGAACUACAGCGAAAGCAUUUGCCAAGAACGUUUUCAUUAAUCAAGAACGAAAGUCAGAGGCUCGAAGACGAUCAGAUACCGUCGUAGUUCUGACCAUAAACGAUGUCGAUUAGCGAUCCGCCGGUGUUGUUNCCNUGACUCGGCGGGCAGCUUCCGGGAAACCAAAAUCUUUG
rnacentral:rRNA from 1 species